GGGGAUGACAGGCUUCGACGGGAGAGGCUGGCCCCGAAUUGCGAGCCGAGAGGCGCCGACCUCGAUAAAUCAGCGCAAAACAAAAGUGCCAACAGCACAAACUACGCUGCUCUACCACUCGCUGCAUAAGCGAAUGAUGAAGCAGCUGGUCCUAUAAAUAGGGCCACGUCCGCCCACCCCGCUCUCCGACCGGAGGUGGUAUCGGGCGACAAAAAGUCGGAGUGCCGCACGAUACGCCGCUAAACGUGCGCAAGAGGGCUUUAGGGUCCUAGCGGCUGGUUGGGUGAUUAUCCUUGUCGGUUGUGAGACACCUGGCGACAUACAACAGCCGACUACGCUCGUAGAUAUUCGCGGGUUGAAUCUUUCGGACGCGGGUUCGAUUCCCGCCAUCUCCACCU
rnacentral:tmRNA from 1 species